CCACACUUCUUUUGAUGCAGCCCAGAAUACAGUUGGAUUUCUGGACUGUGAGGGUGCAUAUCUGGCUCACAUCCAACUUGCCAUCCUCCAGUACCCCCUAGUCCUUUAUGGUAGGGCUGACCUCAAUCCUUUCAUCCCUCAGUUUGUAUUGGUGGUGAGGGUUGCCGUGAUCCAGGUGUGUCAUCUGCAAACUUGCUGAAAGUGCACUUGAUCCUACUGUCACUGUCAUCGAUGAAGAUGUUAAAGAGCAUCAGCCCCAGUACUGAACUCUGUGGGACACACUUGUCACCAGUCUUCAUCCAAACGUCCAGUUAUCGACCACCACUCUCGAGCUGCCAUGCUUCUGUACAGUUUACUAACUUCAAUGCAUCAACAACUGAAGAUUAUUCAACCAAAAUCUCUGUGUAUUUUGUACAGAACAAAUCUUAUGUAAUCCCAGGACUACUGGACUUUAUCAAGGCAAAUACUUUGUGGAACCAUACUUUUUUGUUGUUGUUGUUGUUGGCUCAGUUUGCAAGAGUGGUAGAAAAAUAUGCAGUGUAAUAAGUAGAACUGAACUGAAGCAGGUGUAAGAAUGGCAUUAUGACAUUUUCACAACAUUUCUAAUUUGAGAGCCAAAUUUUCCCUCUCUUUGAGAUCCUGUGGUAUUCUGACUGAUAUAUAUAUGCAUAUAUUUGGUGCAGAUCCUUAUCCCUGCAAGAAUCCCAAGAGGAAAUAACACUUCUUUAAUUGUAAAUAUUGAAGACUUGCCAAGAUGGCAGUAGUACAGCUUCAGAAACAAUAAGUCCUUCUCUAAAAGCAUUGUACAAAAUGGUGCAUCGUGAAAUCUUUUGCCUCCUUAUCCUCUAGCAGUAUUUAUAGAUGUUAUAUUUUUAAAUGUAAUGGGUUUUGUUUUUGUUUGUUUGUUAGUUUUUAAAGAGUUAAGACAAAAACAAAAUGAAAAUUCUCUCACCAGACUAAUGCAUAGCUUACCAUUAAGGGUAAUGGCUUUUGAUGAGGAGGAACCUCAUGCUGAAACAGAUUCCUGGAGUUACAUAACCACUUGCGCGAACAUUAAAUCAUUUAAACAUUAAAGCAAAAAGAAUGGUACAUAUUCGUAAGAAGGAUCCACAAAAAGAAGUCUGAAACACCACUGAGACCAUUUAAUUUAGAGCUGAAAAACUGAAGGACACUCCAGAAUUAUGCAGUUAA